rnacentral:rRNA from 1 species
CUGGCUCAGAUUGACCGCUGGCGGCAGGCUUAACACAUGCAAGUCGAGCGGUAGCACAGGGGAGCUUGCUCCCUGGGUGACGAGCGGCGGACGGGUGAGUAAUGUCUGGGAAACUGCCUGAUGGAGGGGGAUAACUACUGGAAACGGUAGCUAAUACCGCAUAACGUCGCAAGACCAAAGAGGGGGACCUUCGGGCCUCUUGCCAUCAGAUGUGCCCAGAUGGGAUUAGCUAGUAGGUGGGGUAAUGGCUCACCUAGGCGACGAUCCCUAGCUGGUCUGAGAGGAUGACCAGCCACACUGGAACUGAGACACGGUCCAGACUCCUACGGGAGGCAGCAGUGGGGAAUAUUGCACAAUGGGCGCAAGCCUGAUGCAGCCAUGCCGCGUGUGUGAAGAAGGCCUUCGGGUUGUAAAGCACUUUCAGCGAGGAGGAAGGUGGUGAACUUAAUACGUUCAUCAAUUGACGUUACUCGCAGAAGAAGCACCGGCUAACUCCGUGCCAGCAGCCGCGGUAAUACGGAGGGUGCAAGCGUUAAUCGGAAUUACUGGGCGUA